rnacentral:lncRNA from 1 species
GGACCCCUUCCCGCCGGUGCCGGGAUCUUGGGACCCAGGCAAGGAGGGGCUGCGGCUCCUGAGCUCUCACCCAACCCUGCAGGCCGGGUGUCAUCUCAUGCAACAGCUGACGGUGACGCCUCCACCACUCUGGUGUCACUUUUAACACUGCACGUUCACACCACCGGCUGACUGUCUGCGCAAGGCGGCCCCAGCAGAGCCGCGUGCAGCCGCACCCCACAUGUGCAGUUGUGAAGCCGGCAGUUGUUCAGCAGGUUCUCAUGGCCUCACUUCCAGACGUGUUACUUCUGGAGGGAACAACACCACGGAACUGCCAAGCUCUCCCAAGAAGGAACGACAGGACCUGCCUGUCCCGUGUCGGCCUGGAGGGGGAGGGGAGGCGUUUCGGAGCGAUGGCAUGCAACGACCUGGGCCCUGGACCUCCGCUACCUGCACACAGUUCCCUACGUUAGAAGAACAAGAGGAGGAAGAGAAAAAGGAAGAGGGAAAUCAUGUCACCGUGCCACUAAACCCUUCUAUUAAAUCUGCCUGUUCACCACGUUUUCAGGCUAUUUCAUGAUGUAAUAGUAAGAGACAAAAGCAACAGCCGCACCCCUAUACACGAUGUGAUCUCAGUUGUGCAGCGUGUGCCGGGCAUGAUCACUCUUCACCUACAUCAGACUCCCGCCACUUUCAGGCGGCUGGAGGAUUCACUUCCUCCUCUCCCGAGAACAGGCUUGGCUACGUGACUUGCUUUGGCUAAUGAAAUGUGACGGACGUAAUGCGUCACUUCCGGUGCCGUAUUUAAUUGCUGGCGCUCCCCUCCCCAGCCCACUCUCCUGCCUCAGCAGCCUUCGGAGGUGGCUGAUCUGCAGCGCCCGGAAGAUGGCAAGGGCCACCGCAGUGGGGAGGGCACCCCUGAGAGUCCCCCAGACUCCAGUGACCUGGCCCCCUGUCCUCGUGCUCCCCCGGGCCAGCUGAUGUCCUGGCUGUGUGCAUAGGAGAAGUCCUGCAAUUUCUCUUCAUCAUCCUGAGAUUUCCCUUCACUUCUCUCCUACGUUGCUGGUUCCUUGUUUCUUAGAUCCUAAGCCAUCUUCCUUCUUGGUUCACUCCCUUCGUUGUUUAACGUGUAUGCCAGUAGCUUCCUUGGAAACUGCAUAUGGGAGUUCAGUUUGGGGAUAAUUGAUUGACAGUUUGGCUAGAUGCAUAAAUCUUGGUUGGAAAUCAUCUUCCUCCAGAAUUCUCAAGGCAGUUCUCUAUUGGCACGUGGCGUUCUGGGUUGAUGUUAAAAAGUCUGACGCCAUUCUGGUUCCUGAUCCUCAUUACGUGACCUUUUCAGUCUCUGAAAGCAUCUAGAAUCUGCUCUUUAUCUCUGAUGUUCUAAAAAGUUACUUAAUAAAAUUCAACAUUUAUUCUGAUAAAAAAGCUUCUAUUUAGGUCUAAUUGAGCUAGGUUGAUUCUGUCAUGACUCAAAAUUUAGUCACUAUAAAAAU